rnacentral:lncRNA from 1 species
CAGUCUGAAAAUCAGGAAUUAUGAUCCGACGACAAACCACUCGAACAAAAAAAACCAAUUCUAACGGUUCCUAAACUAGCUUUGCUCAACAUGUCAAUCCGACGCAUUCUGCUAGUUCGUAAGAAAUUCAAGAUCGUUCUCAACCUUUAACGUGAACUUCGGGGAAGCAAGAUUUACCUCGUUUACUCGGAUGUCGGGACUCCCCAAGAUAUUUCCGGAGUAGCUUUCUGUCGAACUUAUCGAGGUUGUAAUCUUUACUGUCAAUUAAGUGCUUGUAAAUAGAAAGUGGAUAGAUCGGAGACAAAUCACCUUAGCGAGACUUUGAGAACGCUGCUAUACAACCACAACCAACGCCAAUAAAGAGCAAGAAGUGGUAAUGACUCAGCGCAGAGCCUCACAUCCUCUAUAGCGGAUGACGAAACUGAAGCUGACUCUCAACCACAGACAUAAAUAAGGCGGCAGCAGAGCAAGGACGGAGUACGAGCAAAGGACAAGCAAGACAAGGGAGGAGAGAAACUGGCGUCAGCUGGACACCAGAGCGAUAUCAAAUUUGGUUUCGUUUUUUGAGAGGAUAAGUCGAAGGAGAGAGAGAGAGAUACUAUAUAUAUAUAUAUAUAUUGUUGUUAUGAGAGUAUUGUAAUAUAACCUAGAAUUCUUAGCAACUCUCCUUUUUUCUCAUACUAAUGAUAUUAUCGAAUCUACUUUGUUUUUGAAGGCAAAUCUCAAACUGCUUUCUUUCUGUUUAAUGCACCUAAAUAAAGCUCAAUGAGCUAUCUUUUCUUCAAUAAAUAUAUAAUCUUUUUUUUUAGUUUAAAUUUGCUAUCAUUUACAAUCUUUUCUAGACUUCAGAUUUAUAAAGAUAAUAAAAAUUAGGAACAUUUUGAGGCUUCGACUCGUAUUAAUAUUCACCUAUGUGAUAUGCUC